rnacentral:rRNA from 1 species
CCUACGGGAGGCAGCAGUGGGGGAUAUUGCACAAUGGGGGGAACCCUGAUGCAGCGACGCCGCGUGGGUGAAGAAGCGCCUCGGCGCGUACAGCCCUGUCAGCAGGGAAGAAAAUGACGGUACCUGAAGAAGACGCCCCGGCUAACUACGUGCCAGCAGCCGCGGUACUACGUAGGGGGCAAGCGUUAUCCGGAUUUACUGGGUGUAACGGGGGCGCAGACGGCGAUGCAAGCCAGGAGUGAAAGCCCGGGGCCCAACCCCGGGACUGCUCUUGGAACUGCGUGGCUGGAGGGCAGGAGGGGCAGGCGGAAUUCCUGGUGUAGCGGUGAAAUGCGUAGAUAUUAGGAGGAACACCAGUGGCGAAGGCGGCCUGCUGGGCUUUUACUGACGCUGAGGCUCGAAAGUGUGGGGAGCAAACAGGAUUAGAUACCCUGUAAUC